GUAACGGCGAGUGAAGCGGCAAAAGCUCAAAUUUGAAAUCUGGUACCUUCGGUGCCCGAGUUGUAAUUUGGAGAGGGCAACUUUGGGGCCGUUCCUUGUCUAUGUUCCUUGGAACAGGACGUCAUAGAGGGUGAGAAUCCCGUGUGGCGAGGAGUGCGGUUCUUUGUAAAGUGCCUUCGAAGAGUCGAGUUGUUUGGGAAUGCAGCUCUAAGUGGGUGGUAAAUUCCAUCUAAAGCUAAAUAUUGGCGAGAGACCGAUAGCGAACAAGUACAGUGAUGGAAAGAUGAAAAGAACUUUGAAAAGAGAGUGAAAAAGUACGUGAAAUUGUUGAAAGGGAAGGGCAUUUGAUCAGACAUGGUGUUUUGUGCCCUCUGCUCCUUGUGGGUAGGGGAAUCUCGCAUUUCACUGGGCCAGCAUCAGUUUUGGUGGCAGGAUAAAUCCAUAGGAAUGUAGCUUGCCUCGGUAAGUAUUAUAGCCUGUGGGAAUACUGCCAGCUGGGACUGAGGACUGCGACGUAAGUCAAGGAUGCUGGCAUAAUGGUUAUAUGCCGCCCGUCUUGAAACACG
rnacentral:rRNA from 1 species